rnacentral:rRNA from 1 species
CAAUAGCGUAUAUUAAAGUUGUUGCAGUUAAAAGCUCGUAGUUGGAUUUCUGGCGUGAGCGUCUUGCCGGCCCAAACGGGUCUGUGCAGGCACGCCUCUCGCCAUCCUUGCGUCUAACUUGUCUGGCAUUAAGUUGUCGGGCUUGGGAAGCGCAUCGUUUACUGUGAAAAAUUAGAGUGUUCAAAGCAGGCUUACGCCGUUGAAUACAUUAGCAUGGAAUAAUAAGAUAGGACCUUGGUGCUAUUUUGUUGGUUUGCGUACCGAGGUAAUGAUUAAUAGGGACAGUUGGGGGUAUUCGUAUUUCGUUGUCAGAGGUGAAAUUCUUGGAUUUCCGAAAGACGAACUACUGCGAAAGCAUUUACCAAGGAUGUUUUCAUUAAUCAAGAACGAAAGUUAGGGGAUCGAAGACGAUCAGAUACCAU